CUCCCAUGCUCCCCAACGAUAGAAGAAGGAAAAAACAUCCACGAGCGCACACGUCUCAUGCCCCAUCUCCCACAAACCCCCCUCUCUCUCCCGAGAAACUUGCCGCCGCCGUCCAACCUGAAUCAGCCGCUCUCCCUCGUGCUCCUGGCCGCCGACGCCCUCAAGCCGUGGCACAAGGCGGUGCUGCCUCCGACUCUCGCACCUACCUCCUGACCGGUGCUUGCUGGAAAUCACGUCUUCCAAGCCCAGGAUGAAGGCCAGUCCCGAAUCCCUCUUCGGCUCCUCGUCGCCAUCCGGCAGCGAAGGGUCUCUCUCUCCCAUCGCAGUCAGUCGCGGCUUCCUCUAGCCCUCCUCACUGGUGACGCCAAGACCGGAUCCACGCCGUGGGAGGUGUCCACCGUCGGCAACCUGAGGAGCCUCGCCACCUCGAGCCUCAACUCGCUCAAGCGUAGCCUCGACGCGCUCCACGGCCACUCCGCCCGUGACCUCGAAGCCUCCCACUUCCGAAUCUCCAAGCGCAUCAAGAUGCAGAGCUCCCUGGAGCUGGCGGAGAAGGAGCAUAGGAAGAUGUUCGAGAAGAUCACCGAGCGUCCUGAGGAGAUGAAAGUACACUUAUUCGAUUCCAUGUUUGAUCCAGUGUUGGUCGUGAGUGCUACAGUUUAUCUGAAAACAAUUCCUGUCUGUGAAAUUACAAGAAGUUGAUGACAGAGGUGCAGAGCUCCCCGCAGCUGGCGGAGGAGCAUAGGAAGAUGUUCGAGAAGAUCGCCGAGCAUGCCGAGGAGAUGAAGAGGUGCAGAGCUCCCUGCAGCUGGCGGAGAAGGAGCAUAGGAAGAUGUUCGAGAAGAUCGCCGAGCAUGCUGAGGAGAUGAAGGUACACUCAUUCGAUUCCAUGGUUGAUCAAGUGUUGGUUGUGAGUGCUACAGUUUAUCUGGAAAUAAUUCCUGUCUGUGAAAUUACAAGAAGUUGAUGACAGAGGUGCAGUUGUCUUCAUCUCGAGUUUGCAAGGUGACCUUACCUGAGAUGGCAAAGUCCGUAGCCAGAGUUAUUGAUGGCUUGCGCAGUCGCUACAACAUCCCACCUACGCGAGUUUAGCAUAGCUCUCUUAGUUGGUAAUCACUUCUCCUGUCAUCAACUUGACAUAUGAGUUGCUCAUGUUCAGUAAAUUUUCAUGAACGUAUGAGUGUUUGUCCAUAAAAAUUGGCAGGUGUAGUAUGUAUCUACCAGGGAUAGUAAUUAUUCUUGGUUACAGGAUACCAAAGUGUUGUGGUUCAUUGGGUCCAUCUCCUCCUUCGCCAUCUACUACGGCACCUGCGUGCUCUCCGAGUCAAUGCUCUCCGCCCAUUCGUGCCAUCUUCGUCGGUUGCUCCUGUCCUGCACAAGGUCAUGCACAACAUGUGCCUUGCCGGAUGCCUUCGAUGCCCCACUCUUGAUCAGGUUUGUCAUGCAGCACCUGAUCGAUGCACCAAACUACAAAAGGGCUCAGUGGUGGACUGAUGGGGAGGAUGCAUCGAUGCGGAUUGCGGAAGGUCAUUACAAAGGAAUUCUAGGGGAAUCGUACCAAGGAUCCUGCACAAUGCGAGCCUUGCUAUUGUAUGCCUUCGAGACAUCGAGGCUACAGUAAAGAUGGAGUUAUUUCUUUCAGGAAGGUAACCUCUUGUUUUGGGUACUGCAGUUUUCUUGAAGCUACCUAGCUAGGUAUAAUGAAGAUGAUGGGUUCGCUUCAGCAUAAUUUCCGUUUCAGUUAUUGAGUUCUUUGAAGGCUACAACAAUUAUAAUAUGAACCAGUUGUGAAUCUCUCAUUUGUUUUGAUUAGUUCUAAGUUGUUCUGUGGCAUACAAUUUCAGACUGGGUGGUCUUGAAGUAACGUUACACACAUUACUUCUAUUAGGUGUAUGCAUGCUUGUGCGUGUGAUUACAAUGGAAGUGCACAUACAUGAAUUUUUUAGUGGUCCCCACUAACUGAAAGCAUAUUGUUGGAGUAAAAGCUCUCCACUACAGUUCCAUCCAUAAGAAAAUAACAGACAUGCGAAUAUUCAAGAACUUAUGGUGUCAUUCCUUGCUACUGAUCAGAAAAAAAUCUCACAAUUAUAGAGUAUUUUCAAGCAUACCAAAUUAUAUGGUUGUGUACAUUGAGACCACAUAAACCAUAUAUGAUGGAUUUUUUGCCAUAGUGUUAAGAAGUAGCAUCACAGUUAGAAACUAUUUUGAAGCAUACCAAAUUAUAUAAGUUUGCCGGCAUCUAUUAGGUGUAUGUUGUCCUUUCAGCGAUUUAGGCAUACUGUAGACACACAUAGUUCGUAGGAAAAGGAACAUGCUAUUGCUCAUCACUGUAAGUAUUGUACGCAAGAUAAAUUUGCAUCAUGUAGGUAGUGAAUACUCUAAUCAUGAUCAAGUUCCCUAGGCACUUCUUGUACAAGCACCAUCUGCUAUGAAAUCUUUAGAGUUUUUUUAUGACACAAUUUACAAGCACCAUGUGAGCGAAUGAGGAAUGCUAGCGCUAGCAGCUACUGUGAGCCGCAGUGGACAGCGGUAGCAGCGGUGGUCAGCCGGACAACACAAUGUCGGCGGCAGGCGGAUAGUGGCAAGCAGCCCUACCGGUAGCUGCUGCUGUUAGAAGAAUUGACGACUAGAGCAUGUUGUCUUAAUUUGUUCUCUGUUCCUAUAGGAGGAUUCAAUUCCAUUAACUGUUCAAACAGAAAUGAUUCCAUUAGGGAGCUGUCUACUUUGUGAUCUACUGUCAUUCUUCUCUGUCCAGACUAACAAUUGGAUGUAGUUCUUUACGUAUUUAUUAGUGCAAUCUUCUUGUCAUUGUUUUAAAGAUCGCAUAUGUAUAUGUGUGACUAGAGGUUAUGACUUAUAAGUGUUUCCGUUGAUUCGGGAAAUGCAAGUAAGGUGUACGUGUUAGUUUCCAGUGUUCAUUGUAAUUUCCUUGUCUUGGACGUAAUUUAUCUCAAUUUAGAUAUGAGAUAUUGGACUUUGAUUCUGCUUUGAAUUUAUUAACGCUCUAGAGUCCACCCUACCUAAAAAAAUCGCCCUCAGCCACUGAUGUACAUCACAACUCUACCUUGGAAGUAUAUAUGAGUAUGGUGUACAGUGCACACAAACGAGGACUACGGCCUAUGGAAUAUGUGUUCCUGGACCUGCUGCCAUGUCAAGUCAUGAGAGAUUUGAUCAAAACAUGUUUCAGGUAUAUUCACCAUGAAUUUUUUAUUAUUAAUUUGAUGAGAUCGAUUACUUCUGCUACCAUUUGAUUCUGUAGGAAGGAUACAUACAACGAUUUUGCUGAGGCAAUGGAUCUGGAAGAGAUGGGGGUACUUGUUCAUAUGUCAUGCUCGUUCAAGAGCCUCAUUGCUCAUUCCACGAAGAGGCAAAUGAGAAUCCUGUCUAUACGAAUGGAGAAGAUGUAGGCUUAUUCCCAUAAAAUCUUGUUCAGGAGCCCAGCAGCAGAUAGAAAAGAUGACAUGGACCACGAUAAAGAUUUAAGAAUCUUUCAGUUCAAAUGUCUCUCCUGCAACCAUUGUUUCUAGAGUAGAUAGCUCUGAUGACUUAAGGGUGUCACGGGCUAAUGGUGCUGAGCCCCCAAAAUGUAUUGUAGUCAAUGGAUAUUUCUGAUAAAAACAUUAGUUAUCGAGUGAUGAUAGUGUUUGUCUAUCGCAAACAUUUAAACAGUUUAAAUUG